CCUACGGGUGGCAGCAGUCGGGAAUAUUGGGCAAUGGGGGGAACUCUGACCCAGCGAUGCCGCGUGAGUGAAGAAGUUCUUCGGUUUGUAAAGUUCUAUAAUCAGGGAAGAAAGAAAUGACGGUACCUGAAUAAUAAGCUCCGGCUAACUACGUGCCAGCAGCCGCGGUAAUACGUAGGGAGCAAGCGUUAUUCGGAAUGACUGGGCGUAAAGGGGGCGUAGGCGGUUAUACAAGUUAGAAGUGAAAUACCCAGGGCUUAACUCCGGUGCUGCUUCGAAACUUGUAAGACUUGAGUGCAGGAGAGGUUAGUGGAAUUCCUAGUGUAGCGGUGGAAUGCGUAGAUAUUAGGAGGAACACCAGAGGCGAAGGCGGCUAACUGGACUGUAACUGACGUUGAGGCACGAAAGCGUGGGGAGCAAACAGGAUUAGAUACCCGUGUAGUC
rnacentral:rRNA from 1 species